UAAAAACCCCGACUUCGGAAGGGGUGUAUUUAUUAGAUACAAAACCAAUGCCCCUCGGGGCUCUUUGGUGAUUCAUGAUAACUAUACGAAUCGCACGGCCUUGCGCCGGCGAUGGUUCAUUCAAAUUUCUUCCCUAUCAACUUUCGAUGUUUGGGUAUUGGCCAAACAUGGUUGCAACGGGUAACGGAGGGUUAGGGCUCGACCCCGGAGAAGGAGCCUGAGAAACGGCUACUACAUCCAAGGAAGGCAGCAGGCGCGCAAACUACCCAAUCCCGACUCGGGGAGGUAGUGACAAUAAAUACAGAUACAGGGCCCUUUCGGGCCUUGUAAUUGGAAUGAGUACAAUUUAAAUCCCUUAACGAGGAACAAUUGGAGGGCAAGUCUGGUGCCAGCAGCCGCGGUAAUUCCAGCUCCAAUAGCGUAUAUUAAAGUUGUUGUGGUUAAAAAGCUCGUAGUUGAACCUUGGGCCUGGCUGGCCGGUCCGCCUCACCGCGUGCACUGGUCCGGCCGGGCCUUUCCCUCUGUGGAACCCCAUACCCUUCACUGGGCGUGGCGGGGAAACAGGACAUUUACUUU
rnacentral:rRNA from 1 species